AGAACGAACGCUGGCGGCAGGCUUAACACAUGCAAGUCGAGCGCCCCGCAAGGGGAGCGGCAGACGGGUGAGUAACGCGUGGGAACAUACCCUCCGGUUCGGAAUAACUCAGGGAAACUUGAGCUAAUACCGGAUACGGUCGAGAGGCGAAAGAUUUAUCGCCGGAGGAUUGGCCCGCGUCCGAUUAGCUAGUUGGUGUGGUAAUGGCGCACCAAGGCGACGAUCGGUAGCUGGUCUGAGAGGAUGAUCAGCCACAUUGGGACUGAGACACGGCCCAAACUCCUACGGGAGGCAGCAGUGGGAAUAUUGGACAAUGGGCGAAAGCCUGAUCCAGCCAUGCCGCGUGAGUGAUGAAGGCCUUAGGGUUGUAAAGCUCUUUCGCCCACGACGAUAAUGACGGUAGUGGGAGAAGAAGCCCGGCUAACUCGUGCCAGCAGCCGC
rnacentral:rRNA from 1 species